rnacentral:rRNA from 1 species
UACGAAGGGGUCUAGCGUUGCUCGGAAUCACUGGGCGUAAAGCGCACGUAGGCGGCUUUUUAAGUCAGAGGUGAAAUCCUGGAGCUCAACUCCAGAACUGCCUUCGAUACUGGAAGACUUGAGUCCGGGAGAGGUGAGUGGAACUGCGAGUGUAGAGGUGAAAUUCGUAGAUAUUCGCAAGAACACCAGUGGCGAAGGCGGCUCACUGGCCCGGUACUGACGCUGAGGUGCGAAAGCGUGGGGAGCAAACAGG